rnacentral:rRNA from 1 species
AUUAGAUACCCUGGUAGUCCACGCCGUAAACGAUGAGUGCUAGAUAUCGGAAGAUUUUCUUUCGGUUUCGCAGCUAACGCAUUAAGCACUCCGCCUGGGGAGUACGGUCGCAAGAUUAAAACUCAAAGGAAUUGACGGGGGCUCGCACAAGCGGUGGAGCAUGCGGUUUAAUUCGAUGUUACGCGAAAAACCUUACCAACCCUUGACAUGGUGGUCGCGGAUCGCAGAGAUGCUUUUCUUCAGCUCGGCUGGAUCACACACAGGUGUUGCACGGCUGUCGUCAGCUCGUGUCGUGAGAUGUUGGGUUAAGUCCCGCAACGAGCGCAACCCUCAUUCUUAUUUGCCAGCGGGUAAUGCCGGGAACUAUAAGAAAACUGCCGGUGAUAAGCCGGAGGAAGGUGGGGACGACGUCAAGUCAUCAUGGCCCUUACGGGUUGGGCUACACGCGUGCUACAAUGAUGUUUACAGAGGGAAGCAAGAUGGCGACGUGGAGCAAAUCCCUAAAAGACAUCCCAGUUCGGAUUGUUCUCUGCAACUCGAGAGCAUGAAGUUGGAAUCGCUAGUAAUCGUGGAUCAGCAUGCCGCGGUGAAUACGUUCUCGGGCCUUGUACACACUGCCCGUCACGCCAUGGGAGUUGGUUUUACCUGAAGGUGGUGAGCUA